UGUAGUCCAACAGAACAGGCCUUGUUUAGAAGUCCAGACAGUUGUAGUCCAACAGAACAAGCCCUGUUUAGAAGUCCAGACAGUUGUAGUCCAACAGAACAGGCCUUGUUUAGAAGUCCAGAAGUUUUAGAAGAAGCGUACAAAUUGCAUCUAAUUUUCGUUUCAGUAUCUGCCAGUGAGACUGAAGAAUAAGAUAACUGUGAUCGAAACAAAAAAAAUUUUAUUUUAUACCAGAGCUGUCAGUUUGCAUCUUUUAUUAAUACUCUAUUAGCUGGUAGUUGGUCAAAUCUGACACGCGCCAAACUGCAGAUAGGUGGCGCCAACGUAUCAGGAAGUGACAAAAAUCCAUGUUGAUUUUAAGGUCAAAAGAAUAUAAAGACGGCAUUGGAAAGGUCAAUCAGGCCAUGUUGGACACGGCCCAACAAACCUAUUUAGGUUGUGCUUCUAACAUGACAAUGGGACUGUUUCAGGUCAUUUCAGGCCAUGUUGGACACGCCCCAACAAACCUUGACUCACCUUUUUAUAUUCCCUCGCUGACAUCAAGACUCAUUAUAGAUGUGGUUUAAUUGAUCAUAGUACAAGCUCAUUAUAGAUGUGGUUUAAUUGAUUAUAGUCCAGACUGGUUAUAGAUAUGUCUUAAUUGAUCAUAGUCCAGACCGGUUAUAGAUCAAUUAAGACAUAUCUAUCUACAGGCGCUACUAAAAAAAAUGGAGCCCUGGAUUUCUUAAUCCGGCCCUGAGCCUCACUGCUUGUUACUGUAAACAGACCGUCACUGCUUGUUACUGUAAACAGACCCUAACUAAGUUGUUACUGUAAACAGACCGUCACUGCUUGUUACUGUAAACAGACCCUAACUAACUUGUUGCUGUAAACAGACCGUCACUGCUUGUUACUGUAAACAGACCCUCACUGCUUGUUACUGUAAACAGACCCUAACUAAGUUGUUGCUGUAAACAGACCGUCACUGCUUGUUACUGUAAACAGACCGUCACUGCUUGUUACUGUAAACAGACCCUCACUGCUUGUUACUGUAAACAGACCCUAACUAAGUUGUUGCUGUAAACAGACCGUUACUGCUUGUUACUGUAAACAGACUGUCACUGCUUGUUACUGUAAACAGACCGUCACUGCUUGUUACUGUAAACAGACCGUCACUGCUUGUUACUGUAAACAGACCCUCACUGCUUGUUACUGUAAACAGACCCUAACUAAGUUGUUGCUGUAAACAGACCGUCACUGCUUGUUACUGUAAACAGACCGUCACUGCUUGUUACUGUAAACAGACUGUCACUGCUUGUUACUGUAAACAGAGUGAAUUACCUUUUUGGUCUAUGUUCCUUUUGAUAAACGGUAUCUAUUCUU